UUUGAAAUGUAAGUUAAUUUUUUGUAUCUAAAAUUUAGAUAACAUUUGUAAAUACUGACUAAUUUAAAAUAGUAUAAAACAUUCCACUGCAUUUACUACUAUUAAUUCCAAGUUCAGGCUCAUCUGUAACCCUGAAAAUGUAACCAUACCGGGGCGUCAGACAUUUGCAAAUUUACUUAAGUAUCUCAAGAGGAAAUAUUCAGGAUUUAGGAUAAUGAUGUAUUCAAGCUCAAGUCAGACAAAAUGAAGACUGGAAAAUAACACUGGAUUCAAUGUUCAACAACAGUUAGGUGUGCAGACAUUGGCAGUUACCAACUUAUGUGAGAAGGAAAGCCAAUUUUCAUUAAAAAUAUAUUAUUUGGUACACUGACAAUACUUCCCCAGAAGAGCACAUCAUCUUAUGUCCAACAUCCAAGAGUAUGUGGCCAGCACAAAUUGAAAUCAAUUGGUUUAAGAUGAAAUGACUAAGGAUACGAAGUAGGGAGGAUAAAAAUGGGCGGGUGGGUGUGGGAGUAGUCAGGAGGAAAAGUUACUGACGAGCUGGAUAGUUCAGUGGGAACUUGUCACGUGAUAAGUCUUCAGAAAGGAAGGAUUCUCAACGGAGAAAGGCUUCCACAGUGCUGUAAGUUUGUAGAACAUUUUAUUAAGUAGAGAUUGAUCGGCAUGUUCAGGCCAUUGUGGGUGGGGUUGCCACUGAAUUGGUGGUACUGAGUACUGUGAGAAAGCAGGCUGGGUAAGCCACGAGGAGGAAGCACUCGCCUAUGACCCUUCAUCAUAGUCAGCCUCCAACUCCUUGCUUCUUGUGGGAGCUCUUGUCCUGACCUCCUUCAGUUAAGAACAGUGAUUUGAAAUUGCCAGCCAAACAAAUCUUUUUCUCUCCAACUUGCUUUUGGUCACAGUGUUUCUUGGCAGCGAUAGUGACCCUAUCUAGGACAAUAAUCGCCACCUAUCCCUAGACAUUCUCAAAGACAUAGUAAAUACAAAUACAACUUGGGAGUCCUGUGGAAAUGCACUUUUUUAUUCUUCUUUCUAUAGUUUGUAAAAUAUUAGAGGUGUUUAUUUUGGGGAGGAUAAUGGUUUAUGGAAAUGUACUCUUAUUAGGUUUUUAACAGCAAGAUAUCUUUUCUGAUGCCUAUUAUCUUAACCAGUUUUGGAAUUUUUUUCUAUUUUACUUUGCUUUGUAUCCGGUAUGCUUCAUUUUAUUACUAUUUCAGCAUUAAUGAUUAUUUAAUAGAGGUAUAAAGAUGCAUAUAUCUCUGUUUCUGUUUUUAAAAUUAUUUUUGUUUAGUUUGGACUUUCCUUUGAAUAUAUGACUUGUUAUUUAUUAUGACAAUUUACUACCUUUAAUCAUUAGCUCACACAAGGUUUUUCUCUUAGCAAUCACCCUGUCUGAAUCGGAAAGUGUGAGUUGAUCAAACGAAAGAGCUUUCAGAUAGGUUUUCCUUUUUAGGGACUGCUUUCUUUGUUCUACACUCCAGUCUUGAGAUUACAAAACUAUAUCUUCACAUUGAUUUGAAUUUUCUUCUACAUUUCUAGUAUGUCUUAUGCAUUAAAAUAUUUUAAUUAUUUCAUAUAUUGUUGUAGAUGUUUCAUAAAACUAAACUUCUAUGCUUGUUCUUUUCUUAUAUAUUUUUGUGUUGUUUUAUUUUAUUUUGUGUUUCCUUAAAUUACUGACUAGGCAUCUGCAGUUAAACCAGCUUUCCCCAAACUCAUUAGCUCUGCUCUUUAAUUGCUUCAUUCAAAUGAAAAAUUUAUUUUGCUAUGAUGCACAAUUGUCUGAUUUUUACAUGGUUAUUAGAUUUUAUGCAUGAUAAAUACUGUGGUGAUUAUAUAGCUGAAUGUCAAGACUAUUUGCUUCCUUUUGAUCUAGCAGGUCAUUGAAUUGUUUUAUUUAAUAAUAUGCUACCUUUCUGGGCUCAUCCUUGCAAAUCAAGUGCUAUAAUACUAUUUCCCCAUGAGUGAAAAAUGUUCCCUUUAAUACUUUUAAGUAAGUUUAUUCUGUGAUCAAUGGACUAUUUUAGAGUCAAUGCCCCAGUAUAUAUCUCUGUUACAUUUUACGUACUGACUUGGGUAUUUUGUAGUAUAUAUUCUACAGUAGGCCCAAUGCUUCAAAUUUUCUUUCCAAGACCAGAGGAAAAUUGUGGAUGCUUAAUCCCCAUUAAAAUAACAAAACACAUAUUGCAUUUUUAGCUAAGUAAACUUCUGGAGCACACUUUUUAAAUACAAAUCUCUGUGUUAUUUUCAGUAAAGGAGCUAGCCUGUUCAGGUGGCCAAUCAGUGAACAUUCCUUCUGGCAUACUUUUCUAGUGGAAUUAUGUCCGCCAUUUCCUUCUAAUAUUAUUUUUAGUUAUAUGCUUUCCAUUUAAAAGUAUCUUUGCUCCCUUGGUUGUAAGACAUAUUUAUUAAUAUUCUGUGUAGAUGGGUAAUCUUUCCUUCUCAACUAUACCACUUCAUUUGAGACUUUUAUACCCACAUGAAGUCUUAACGACUAAUACAGAAGGAUUGCUUGUGCUCUUUGGUGAGCUGGUCCCCAGUGGUGACAUCUUGCAAAACAACAAGGAUCUUAACAUUAAGAAGAUGUAAAUGCAACCAUUUCAAUCACUUGCAUUUCUCAUUUCGACUUUUAUGUCCAACUCAAUUUAUCCCUGUCUGCUCUUGUCUCUUAUCGUAGAAGCUUCUGGCUUGUUCUUUACUACAAUUUUGUCAAAUCAGUAAUAUUAGGUAAAUGAAAUUGGAGAGUACGUCAAUUUUACGGCUGAGGUUUUCUUUCAGUGUUCUGCUGUCCUAAGUGUUGCUACGAUUAGCAGGCAUUUUUCCCCUUUUAUUAUUUGCAUUGUUCAAGGUCCGAAUGUUAAACAUUACCUCACUAGAAAGCAUUUAGGCUGUUUCUUGAUUUGGUAAAUGAUAAAAUGCUUGUCAUUGCAUUAUGAUAAAAAUAUCUCUCACAUUCUAUGAGACAAAACUGAUGUUCAAUGUCAGAGACAGUGUUAAUAAUAUGCUUUGAGAUCACUUAGGACUCGGGACUGUUAUCCUACUGUGUUUUCAGCCUGUCUGUUUAGCCUACCUUUAAGAGACCAAUGUAACAACCAAUAUCACUGGCCUUGAAUUUGCUAUGUAAUCAUUCUUUUACAAUCUAAGCAAACGCACAGCUGCAAUUUGAAACUAUCUGUGUUCCUGAAUCAAGGGUAAUGCAUGCAUAUGUAUGUUAUGUGUGUUAGGAUAACCAUUACCUGAAAACAGCAAACAUGGUUUGAAAGCAAUCUUAUAUAAUGAAUAUUCACAUAAAUAUUGAACAUAGCACUGAGGGAGAAUAUUCAUAUUGACAAAAUCAGAAAUGAAAAGAGAGGCACAACAACAGAGGAAAUUCAGGAAUACUUUAAAUUCCUAUAAUGCAGAAAAUUUUAAAAAAGUGGAUUGUUUUCUUGAUAAAGAUAAACCAAAAUCAUAUAAACAACUUAAAUAUACUUAUAGCCUCUAAUGAAAUAGAAACAGUCAUUUAACCUACCCCUUCACCCAAAAACUUAGGGCUUAAUGAUUUUAACACUAUAUUCUAACACACAUUCAAAUAAGAGUUCAUGCUCAUACUAUUCAAACUAUUACACAAAUAGAAACAAAAGAAACAUUGCCCAAAGCCGUUUUGUGAGGCCACAGUUACCCCAACACCCAACUACAUAAACAUUCAACAAAGAAAGAGAAUCACAGACCAUUUUACCUUAUAACAUUUCUUUCCCGUUCGUUCCUUUCCAUGCUGCUCAAUAAAACAAACAGCAUAGCCUUUUGUCAGAGGCAGACACUCAGACAUAGACUGACAGACACAGCAAAAGAUUCAUAAGAUAGCGUCCAGGAAUGUUCAGAUCCAGACACAGACCAUCAGAAUGAAUGAAUGAACAAACUAGGAUCCCUUUUACGAUAUUCAGGAGGAGAGCUAUAAGGUUCAUCUUUAAUAACUACAUUAACACAAUAUUAGUAAGUUAACAUUUAUUAUUAAUGCACUCGAACUGAUAUGGAAAUAAAGAGACCAUAUGUACUUGAUACAGAGUCAAUGCGAAAAAAAGUUUAAUUUGAUUUAUCAUGUCUUAGUUUAUCUCCAUAAUGUAGUCUGAACAUUUUACCUCUUUCCAAGUUCUACCUGGAAGACCACAAGGGGAAAUUCUGAAAAUUGGGAGCUCUCAAGGAAGACAAAAGAAGAAAAUUUUGAGACUGCAUGAUUGGUACACAUUUGUUUUUAUAAGGAGGCACAAAAUGUUUUCAGAACAUUUUAACUAUGUAGAAUUACCAGAUGCAAUUCAGGAGUGAUAUUAUUUUUAUGUGUUCUUGCAAGCAUUUAGUAUUCCCCAUACCUCUUUAGUGCAACUUCUUUUAUAUGUGUACAGAAUUAUCUCCUGGAGAUGAAACUGCUCUUCCCUAACUUCUAAUGAUUUUGAAUAUAUUUACAUGAUUAUGAUAUGUCUUUUUAUAGCUUUUUCCAGUUUCUGAAUUGGAUUGAUUAUUUCUUUAAUUGAAGAACUUUGGCUCCUUUUUUCUACAUUUUGACAGUCUAUGUGAACUGUACAAAAUAAAUUGUCUUUUAUUCUAUUACUUCUCAAUUCAUGUUUUAUUUAAAUUGUUUUACUUUAUUUAUGAAUAUGUGUAUGAUUUUAUGUUAAUAUAUACCAUGUAUGUGCAAGGUGAGUGGAUUCCAGAAAAAGCUUUCUUAUCCUCUGCAGCUAGAAUUAUAGGAGUGCUUGGACCAACUCCCAAACUCAGGACGUCUGAAAUAGUAGCAAGUGCUUGUAAGUACUAAGUCAUUCCUCCAGCCAUCAGUUCAUAUUUUAACAGUACUUUUUUAAAUCAAAGCUUUUUUGCUUCAGUGAAACAAAGUUUAUCACUUUUCUUUUGUAAGCCAUUUUUUUUUUCUUUUUGGUACAUUAAUAAGAAAACACUAAGAAAGGUUUUUACUUUUACCCAGAUAUUCUAAAAUUCUCUAAAGAUUUUUAUUGUUUAACUUUUGACAUUUAACUUUGUUAAUGUUCAUUAUUCUUUGCACAAAAUAUGAAAAAUAUAUCAAAGUAUCUUGUUUGUUUGACAAGUUGUUUGAGUUAUUAUUUAUAAUUACACGGUGAAUGCGCAUUUACUCUGAGGCUGUUGUCAAAGGUUUAUCUCCCGUUUAUUACAGUUCUCUUGUUUCAUUGUGAACAUUUUGCUGGGCCUCAUUGUGUGCAUUUGCUGUUGAUAGGUAUCAUGCUCUGUUAGUUACAUGUCUUUUCAUCAAGGGGAUACAAUGUAAAAUAUUGUCUAAAUACACGAUACAAUUUUAAAUAUAAUAAAAUAGUCAUUCCCAAUUAUUAUAAUUAAAAUAUUAUAUACUGUUUUGUUUUUAGUCUUGUCAUAAAAAUUCAGAAUAUUUUUCAUUCUUCUAGACUCUCAUCUGUAUGUGUAAACUACAUGAUUUAUUUUAUUAAUUGACAGAAUUAUAGAACCCUUAUUCUAUGUUCAUCAUCACCCAGAUAUGAAACAUAAGCUACAUAUAAAGUACAUAAGGAACAUUCAACUAGGCAUUUUUUAUGGAACACAAAGUUUAGUUUCUGCUAUAUAAAAGUACUCUCCGAAGUUUCUUCAAAUAAUUUAAUUAAUUUUCUAACCCAUUAUAAAGUUACUCUUUAAUUUCAACUGGAAUUACUCUUUAUUUCAAAGAUUUAAUUUUCCUAUUGUGAUGGUUCAUAAUGAUAAAAAAUAAAUUAUAGAAAUUUAGAGAGCACACUGGCAAUUAGUGAUUUAAAAAAAUUAUCCACUGGAUAAAAGUGACCGGAAUGUACAGAGUAGCUCAAUCAUUUCCUUUGUAGAAUUAUUCACAUAAUUUCUCUUUUAUAUUCAAAAUCAACCAAAAUGUAUUGCUUUUAAAAAUACAAGUUAUUUUGUCUGAGUAGGAGUUUUUGCAAUAAUAAAGAUACUUUUCUUUGUGUUCCUCACAAUAUAACCUGAAAAACAUACAAUUUUUAGAGGAUUUGAAAGCAAUAAAAAGUAUAAGAAUUUUUAUGACUUGAGGCUCAAAGAAAAAACAAGGACAAAAAUGCUGACAGACCACUGAAGAAUGAGACAUGGCUUAUAAUGAAUGAAAAACAUAAAUAUUUUGAGGGAUUUUUAUUAUUAUUUACAUUUAAUUAACAUGAAACCUAUUUAGAAACACUGUCAUUGGCUUUCUCUCCUACAUAAAAUAGUGAACCACUGGUGUAUUAAAAAUCUAACAUUAUUAGAAGUACUUUUGACAUGUGUAACGUAGAAGUUUAUCCUACCAAAGAACAUGAAUAAGUUUGCAUUCUUCUAUGUUCUGGAGUCAUAGACCUUCACCUAUCAAUGUGCACCGGCAGUAUUUAUAUAGAGAAAAUAAAGUAAGACAGGAAAAGCCUUGACUUACUCCUGCUGAACCUUGGCGAUCUUUGUACGUACCAUUGCUAACAAAACACUAGCGUCCUUGGGUAGUGUUAGUUCAAAGUGAUUGUCUGAAAAUCCCGUUCUAUGAUUGUGACUCAUUGACUAGCUGAGAACAUAUGCAUAUUGUUCAUAUUUGUUUUUAUAAGAAAUUACAGUUAACUGCAUAUGGACACAAGAAAUAGGAAAAAAACCCAUUGUAUGCCAAAGGUUUAAUGUGUAUUAACCAUGAAAGCUAAAUAUUAAGGGUGAUAAAGGAAAAUAUGGCAGGAUUCCCAGAUAAAAUUUGAAUUUCAGUACAUAAAAGUUAAAACACAGAGACCAAUAAGCCAUGUAAUUUUUUAGCCAGAUGCCUUUAGAUUUUCUGUCAAUAUGCCUAAGUUCAAUAACACAAAUGACAGGUCAUUCUGGUGAGGAUUUGGAGCAAGGGAAAUGAAUAUUCCUCCAUUGGUAUUAAGUGUGAAAACUUUAACACCCACUUUGUAAUCAAUUUGGCAAUUCAUAGAAAGCUGACCUCAAUUGACCUCUAGAUUCAGAUAUACCACUCUUGGGCAUAUAACUAUUCGAUAGCACGGAUUCUCACUCACCCAUUAUCUCUUAGGAUUUAUUCAUAUUAGCCAGAAAGAGUAAAUGGUCUACAUGUUCCUCAGCAGACAUAUGGAUAAACAAAGUGCCUGCAUUUAUACAAUUGAGUCGAAUUCAGCUUUUACAAAAAUGUACCCUAUAAAAUUUGUAGGCAAAUCUAUGGAACUAAAAAAGAAAAUAAGGUGAGUGAUCGCAGUGCUUUAUCCUAUCUUUCUCAAUAGCUUCCAACUAUGAUACCUGAAACAAGGAGUCAGAGACAAAAAGAAUAGCCAUGAUUCUGAAACCAGAGAGAGAGGGAGAUGCAUUGAGUUCCAGAACAACAUAAGCUACAGAGACAAACCUAAGAAACUCAGAAGGAAGGAAGAUCUCCAGAGGGAGCACAAUAUGGGCAAGAGAGUAGCAGGAAAUGCUAAAAGAGGGGGUGAAUGUAUCCAGUCUCAUCUUCUGCCCCUCUGGUAAUUGCUUAUAAAGGCAGGACCCACUUUACAUGCAUCCACCGGAUGAAAUGAAGGCCACUGCUUCUGGAAAGUUCACUGUGUAGUCACAGUGUAAGGUUGCUGGGUCAAGCUGGUCAAAGAAUCAAAGGCUACAAAAGAGGGAGGAAAGCAGAGAAGAUGUAUUUUAGUUCAACUUGGCCCCCUCCCUCCAAGUCCCUUAGACCAGAAAUUCAGUCUUGAAAUUCAUAAUCCCCUACAAGGUGCAUUUAAUGUACUCAGUACUGCCCUUCAGCAGUCACAAAGGAGUGCUUUAACCUCUUCCUUAGGUCACGGGCAGAUGUUGACAACUCACAACUCAGAUCAACUAAAUCAGUUUCUUCAUCUGAGUUGCCACAAAUUAGAUGCCCCUCUCCUUCCUGCCCAAUGUGUGCUGAUGGGAUAGAUUCUCUUGCAAUGUGACAUAUCAUGUGUACUUUAUAACCAGCUUCAUCACUGAACCUUAUAAGAAGCACUGCCACCAUCUCCUAGGCUGGAGUCAUGGGAAGAGGGUCUGCCAUGCCAAGAUUACAUCCUUGUAUCAGUGCACACCUCAGCCUUAACAACUACUAUUGGUCUCUUGGGAUCUUCUACAACCAAUCAUAUCUUUUAGCUCAGAAUCUGACCUUCCCAUUGGCUACUACCUGAUUUAUGACAUCAUUAUCCCUCCCACCCUACUUGUCCUUGGUAGAAUCCUGAGGUUUCCUUGGUGCUGCCAGCGAACAAAUACAAAUUUGAAUCACUACAAGUAACCUGAGUCCAGUGAGCAGGACAGGAUGUUUAACCUGCUCCACUGUAAUAUGGAUUACUGUUACUUUCCCUUGACCCUGCCUCGACCAUGUCAGCUUUAGGAAUUUGGAAGCAUUAAUCUCUUCUAUUCACAUCAGCUUACCUGAAUGGCCUUCAAAAGAAGUACUUAUAUAAAGCAUGCAGGUACAGAAGGAUAAAACAUAUGACUGAGGACUAGAGGCAGGAGAUUUGACUGGAACAGAAGUCAAAGGGCUCACAUCUUGAACAAAAGGAACGAAACAGAAAGAGUGAACUAGAAAUGAGACAUACCUGAAAGGAAUGUAAGAAGGCUAUCGCCACACAAUUGGCAACCAAAGCACAAAAUCUAGAACCAGAACAAAAUAAAUCUAGGCUUAUGGAGGUCAUUUGGCAUUGCAAUUAAGUAGGUGGACUUUAUUUAUUGUUUGAAUUUGCUGUGGAAAGAACUUCCAGGACAUUUGGAAUUUGCAGCACAAGCAAUGUUAUGUUCUUCAACGUUCAGUGCUAACCAGUAAUGGACUCACACUUUCAGUUCCUCUGAUUGAUUUUCUCUCAGUAUUUGACUAUGCUCCAUUAAAAGAUUUUCUUUAUGCCCCGAUGUUUGAGCACUGAAGAUGGAAAACUUACCUGAACUUUAUAGCGACUGCCAGUAUAAUAUGCAUGGCAAUUGCCAGCCUGAAGGAGCUAACAUGGAGGGGAAAUAGAAUAAAGAUUCAAACAACUGUUAUGUUUCAAUGGUAAAGAAACAUCUCCCUCAUGCGUCUGAUGCCGUGAAAUUCUUCCCAACUACAUGUAGGCAAGCAACAACAAAAGGAGCUCUCUAUAACGAUGACUGUUACCCUUCCUUUAUUCCUUUUCUGAUUUUUGCUUGGAGAUUUUAGCACAAGAAGAGAAGAAACGGCUAUAGCUCUCUCUAGUGAUUCUGGCUAUUGGUAGAAUUUGACAAAUGGAAGUCCCACUGUCUUAAUGGUACAUAAACAUCUGAGCCCACCAAGCUUCAACAGAGAGCCCUAAAAGCACAGUCAUCAUGGUAGUCCAUGGGAAGAUCUACCUCACUGCUACUCUCUGCCAUAUCCACUUCCUUUCUGUCUCCCUUCAUUAAAAAAGCGGGCCACCAAACUCGACAAAACAAAAUAAAAUCAGCAAGACAAAAUCUCUCAUAUUGUGGCUGGGCAAGGCAAUCCAAUAGAGGAAAAGGGUCCCAAGUGUGAGGAAAAAAAAUCAGAGACAGACCAGCUUUCGGAGGUCUCACAAAAUCACCAUGCUAACAGAAGGACCAUAAGGAUGUCAGCAAGCCUGUCUUCACCAAGCACGUGAUUUUGUGAUGAAAACCUGAGAACAAAAUAUGAAAUAUAUCUCAUUUUGGAGAGAGACAAUAAAGUUAUCUCUCUUUCUAAUGCACUCUUCCAUCACGAUCACUCUAAAGCAUUACUUGGUCGUUGCCUUAACUCCCACAUGAGACAUGCUAAUCUAGCUUGUGUAGGUGAAUGAGUAUAAACAGGCUACAGGGCGUUCAUUUACCAGCUGUGUGUACUUGGUUCUCUGAACACAUACAGUGCCUGACUCCCGAGAUCGUGAAAAUAAGUUAAGUGCCCAGCAGAGAGCCUGCCAGAGGAAGAGACUGGUUAUUAGUGACUAUCAGUGGUGAGGGAGACAUUGAUUGUCUUCAGCUCAGCUCUUAGCUUUACCUCCUUAAAAUAAAAGCAGAGAAUGAAUGAUUUUUUUAAGUCAGGGUGGAACUUGAAGAAAGUAGCUGUCUGGACCAAAAUUGUGUAUUCUGUUCUUUGAUGUCCUCAUCAUAUUAACCCAUACUUUCCAUCACGUGUAGAUCUAUUUGAGGAUUUAGAAAGGC
rnacentral:sRNA from 1 species